ACUCCUACGGGAGGCAGCAGUGGGGAAUAUUGCACAAUGGGCGCAAGCCUGAUGCAGCCAUGCCGCGUGUAUGAAGAAGGCCUUCGGGUUGUAAAGUACUUUCAGCGGGGAGGAAGGGGAUAAGGUUAAUAACCUUGUCCAUUGACGUUACCCGCAGAAGAAGCACCGGCUAACUCCGUGCCAGCAGCCGCGGUAAUACGGAGGGUGCAAGCGU
rnacentral:rRNA from 1 species